ensembl:lincRNA Gm16853 predicted gene, 16853
AGAUCCCAUGGCUGUCGCUUUCCCUCUAUCAUGGAAACCGUUCGAAGGCCCAGUGCCAAGGCUUAGCGAGUGAAGAUAAAGGCGCCAAGCCCGAUGACCUGUCUCUGGGACCUACAAGACAGCCAUUCAAAUUCGCAUGGGCGGACAUACAAUAAAUGUAUUUAAAACACUCCAAGACAUGUUUUUCUGCUGUAUAAAAUACAGCAGCCUGAUAUGAUAACUCAUCAGGAAUCUCAAGAUUUCAGAGGCUGAGGAAAAAGGAUUAUGUGGAGUUGGAGAUCGACAUGGCACAUGUUUUGUAGCCUAUUCUGACCUCAAGAACCUUGUACUCAUGUGAACUCAGUAACUUCCAGUGGUUCAGAAACAAGGACUGAGCCUGCCAGGCUGCACAAACAAAAGUACCAGGGCACUUGAGCACUGAACUCCAAGAGUGGCUGGUGGGACUAAAGGAAAGGAUGGAAGACAAAUGUCACUGCAAGAAGCUGUGAGGAUUGGAGAAUGUAGGCUUUGCCAUUGGGUCCUAGAGAUUUCCAUUAUCUGCACUGGUAGUUCAUGUGUCUCACAAUGCCACUGAGCUUGCUCCAUAACUAAAAAGAAUCAUCCAGGUCUUCCCAGGUCUCUCUACACACAAACCUCUAUUUGUGACUUACCUCCGGCUCUCAGCACAUCAGGCAUGCAGACCUGAGGUCACAUCCAGACUGGAUGUGCAGCUGCAGCUGUGGCAUUAUGGUGAGCUUUGGGGCAGAGGCCAUCAAGUGGACAGUAUUUUGGUAGAUGCGAAUGGGCAUGGCCCAGGCACUGCUCAAGUAGGUGGAAGCCCAGGGCCUGCAAAGAUGGCCUUUACUCGCCCAUUUCCAGCCUGGAAGGCUUCCCGCCCUCUGACAAGUAUUACCACCCUGGAGCAGCUGGCACCUGGAACCCAGGCCCCAACCCCAAGCACCUUAUCAUCAGAUGGGUAUCUAGUUAUCAGAAGUUAUCUUCCUGCUGAGACCCCUGCUGACCUUUGAAGACAGAGAACGUGAGACACCAUCCACAGCAGCCUGGAGAACAGCACUCAAGGAGUGUGUACAUCAUGAACCAGCUCCUGUCUACUUACUGCUGGCUGGGGGAGGAAAGCAACUGCCAGGAAGGCCUCCCAUCAGCAGGAGAGCAAUUUUCCUUGGCUGCCUUGCAGAAAGGAGGCAGGAGCCUGGAGCAAAUACCUUCUGAGUAACCUGUUCCUUGUGUGGGAAGCAGAGGGACAACUGGGCUCAGGCUUGCAGCACUAUAGACUGCUGACAAGGUGAGAGGGGUUUGCUGAGGCGCUUGGGUUCCUCCCAUCAGGUUGAAUGGGAGGCUGGCUGGAUGCCCUCUAGACCCUCUGCAGGUAGGGUCCCGGGUGAGAAGGCCUUCCUUCCCUGGUGAAGAUGCAUCAUCAUCUGCACUGUAUGAGCAACAUGAGCAGCAUGAGGCAUGGCCCAAGGCAACACUGGCUACUGGCAGCAUCCCUCCUCACCAUGAGGCUGAUAACCACUGCCCUUGGGCAUGCACAAGCUUCAGUCCCAACUCAAACUGGGGGACCUUAUCCAGCCCAGUCUGCUCUGCCUCGGUGUAAGAUUAGAUUUACAACCAUAUCAAACCUGGGUGUGAUGAUGUCUCCCCUGUUCCCAACAUCCCAGCACUUGGGAGGCUGAGGUAGGAGGAGUUGUGCAAGUUUGAGACUGCUGGGGUCCUGUAGAGUGAAUGAAGACUUGGAGAACCAACACCAUCCAAACGGAGAAGACAUUGGAAGGCCUGCAGAUGGACUCUCGCUAGUAAACAUGUCUUCUCUGACCUGCUCCCCUCUUCCAUGGCUGGGGGUCAGAUACCCAGGCCUGAGACAGGCGUUGUUUUGUUUUUCUUUUAUUUAUCUACAUUCAGCGGAAUUCAAAUGUACUGUCUGAAUGAUCCAGACAUACCAAAAAAAAAAAAAAAAAAAAAAAAAAUCCACUGUUUUUUAAAAAAAAAUUUUCACUUAUAAAAC